UGCUGAACAAAGUUUCGCCAAAUGUCUUUUCAAUUUUGAGUUACAACACUUUUUGUAUGUGUGUUACGAACGCGAAGCGUGAAGUACAUUUGAAUCCACACAAUUCGGAACGAAUUCCUUUCCAACCAUUUCCUACAACUAACCAAGCGAGCCGCAUCAUAAAACCCCAAUCAAAUUCGAACAAUCAUGACCUACCACAAUAUAAUAGGGCCCGCGAUUAUAAACGUAGAGCAGAGCGGCAAUGUUUAUCAGCAUAACGAAGCAAAAGCUAUGCGGCUGAGGGACUCGACUGACUUUGAGCAGCAUGAUAAAAUAAACAAUCUGAAGCGACACCCGAUGGAAACCAUACCAAUAGCCUAGCAGAUCGGUAGCAUUCUAAAUGUAAUCAAAAUUAAUCAUUGAACUUGAUCUUGAAAAUUAGGCCAGCUGAGCAUCGGGAUCGUGCAAAAUAUGAAUGGUAGAUCUAAUUCUGUACAAAUACAAUCAAAUCAUGUAGCUAAAGAGAUUGCUCAAAUUCAGGAAAAUUCUCUCUUCGGAGAAGAAAAUAUUUCUCCUGUGAAAACACGAAAAAACCAUGUACCCGCGAAAGAUCAUUCUAGAAAUUUGGCCGCUCAUAUAUUCAUGUUAAAACACGUACUGAAAGUGUAAAUGUGUAGAUCGUAACGAGAGCCGCUAUUUCAUCAUCCUUUCAGGAAAGAUCAUGUGUAAUUUUUGGUAGGCCCUGCGGCUAUAAAAGAGGAAGAUCAAUAAAGACGACAGUCAGUUUUGUUUUUGGACUCCACACUGGAUACCUCCCGGAUAAGUAUUUUGCUACUCAAAUUCCUUUGAUCCUGAACUUGCACUUGCGAAGCUUAAAUUAUUCUGAUCACUUGAUUGGAUAAUUCAAUCCUUCUAAAGUGUUGAUAUUUAGAAUCGUGGAAGUCUAAGUCAUUGGAUCGGUCAAACUUUUUCUCACUCUGGUAAGCCAAGGUUCCGAAUGCGAGUAACGUUGGCAUGAGUCUAGAAAGGCCUAAAUCCUAACACACACGAUUUGGACGUUCGAUUUUAACUAUUCUCCUUCUUGAACCUCCUACCCUGAGUGAGUAGUAUCGGUGUUCGAAAGUAACGCGUUCCGUCUAGUCUGUUGGUUGGCACGCACGGAAUGUAAUACCGUAUCCCUUCGCAACGGUACCGUGAAACGAUUGUGGGUUUCGUCAUCCUGAUCAUCGUCGAUUCAUCAUCGCGAUAGCUGUGGACAAAAGUGCUGCUGGAUUCAGUAAGUAUUUGGUGUAGUCCCACC